rnacentral:rRNA from 1 species
AGUGAACGCUGGCGGUAGGCCUAACACAUGCAAGUCGAACGGCAGCACAGUAAGAGCUUGCUCUUACGGGUGGCGAGUGGCGGACGGGUGAGGAAUACAUCGGAAUCUACUUUUUCGUGGGGGAUAACGUAGGGAAACUUACGCUAAUACCGCAUACGACCUACGGGUGAAAGCAGGGGAUCUUCGGACCUUGCGCGAUUGAAUGAGCCGAUGUCGGAUUAGCUAGUUGGCGGGGUAAAGGCCCACCAAGGCGACGAUCCGUAACUGGUCUGAGAGGAUGAUCAGCCACACUGGAACUGAGACACGGUCCAGACUCCUACGGGAGGCAGCAGUGGGGAAUAUUAGACAAUGGGCGCAAGCCUGAUCCAGCCAUACCGCGUGGGUGAAGAAGGCCUUCGGGUUGUAAAGCCCUUUUGUUGGGAAAGAAAAGCAGCAGGUUAAUACCCCGCUGUUCUGACGGUACCCAAAGAAUAAGCACCGGCUAACUUCGCG